rnacentral:rRNA from 1 species
GGCCCGACAGAGUUUGAUCAUGGCUCAGGACGAACGCUGGCGGCGUGCCUAAUACAUGCAAGUCGAGCGAACCACUUCGGUGGUGAGCGGCGAACGGGUGAGUAACACGUAGGUGAUCUGCCCAUCAGACGGGGACAACGAUUGGAAACGAUCGCUAAUACCGGAUAGGACGAAAGUUUAAAGGUGCUUCUGGCACCGCUGAUGGAUGAGCCUGCGGCGCAUUAGCUAGUUGGUAGGGUAAAGGCCUACCAAGGCGACGAUGCGUAGCCGACCUGAGAGGGUGAACGGCCACACUGGGACUGAGACACGGCCCAGACUCCUACGGGAGGCAGCAGUAGGGAAUCUUCGGCAAUGGGCGAAAGCCUGACCGAGCAACGCCGCGUGAAUGAUGAAGGCCUUCGGGUUGUAAACCUCUUUCAGUAGGGAAGAAGCGAAAGUGACGGUACCUGCAGAAGAAGCGCCGGCUAACUACGUGCCAGCAGCCGCGGUAAUA